UGGAUGGAACCAGAGGAAAAUAGAGGAAACCAGAUGGAACUGGAUGAAACUAGCAGUAACUAGCAGCAGGAACACAUUUGCCCCUUAGUCCUGAUGAGCAUGCAGACCAUUAUUAGCAAGGAAGCUAGCUUGUUUUUUGCACCAAAGUUACCAGGUGAUGCUGAUGCUCCUGCUGACACUCCUCACCCAGGGAUCACACUUUGA
rnacentral:lncRNA from 1 species